UUCCGCUCCGCCAUUUUGUUCGCGUAUGGUCGCUUUUCUCGGAAUGUCGUCCGAUGGUGCUCGUUACAAAAGUGGUUACAAGUGUUGUUAAACUGCCCGAAAUGGGUUCAGAAAAAUUGGAAAACUCUCAGCCCAAUUCUAAGCCUCAAAGUAAACCCUACGGUAAAAUAGUGCUCUCUUUACACAAUUGUUUGUUGCCCCCCGAAAAGUUACAGCACACACCCUCGCAGCUCGAAGGCCUAGAUUCAGAAACCGAAACGGAUUUGAGGAUAUUAGGAUGCGAACUAAUUCAGACUGCUGGCAUACUUCUGAGGCUUCCUCAAGUUGCAAUGGCGACAGGCCAAGUUUUAUUCCAACGAUUUUAUUAUUCCAAAUCGUUUAUCAAGAACCCAAUGGAAACAACUGCUAUGGGUUGCCUGUGUCUUGCCUCAAAAGUUGAAGAGGCACCCAUGAGGAUUCGAGAUAUCAUAAAUGUAUUCCAUCAUAUCAAACAAGUCAACAAUCAAAAGAAAAUUCAACCAAUGAUUCCAGAUCAAAAUUAUUUCGCGCUGAAAACGCAAGUCAUCAAAGCUGAAAGACGAGUCUUGAAGGAGCUGGGAUUUUGUGUUCAUGUCAAACAUCCUCACAAGAUUGUUGUCACUUACCUACAAACCCUAGGAUUUGAAGAGAAUAGGAAACUACUGCAAAUGGCAUGGAAUUACAUGAAUGAUGCCCUGCGGACAGAUGUGUUUGUACGGUAUCAACCUGAAACUGUGGCCUGUGCGUGCAUUUACCUAACAGCACGGAAAUGUAGGAUACUAUUGCCCAAGGAGCCUCCCUGGUUUAUUCUAUUUGGUGCUACAGAACCUGAAAUCCACGAAAUUUGUAAACAGAUCCUACGCCUCUAUACCCGAUCCAAGCCAAACCAAGAAAAAUUAGAAGCAGAAAUUGAGCGGAUAAAACUUGAACAACAAGCAGUCCAAGCCAGAUUGAAGAUUUUGGCGUCCGGCAACAACACACCAACUAGUCAAGCAUCCCCUAAUUGUAAAGAAAACUUUACCUCCCCUAGCCGUAAUAACCAUUCGUCGAAACACCGUAGCAGAAGUAAAAGCCACAACCGGAGCAGGAGUAGAAGUCGAAGCAGAAGCAGGAGUCAAAGUAGGAGUCGCAGCUACGACCACAGCCGGAGCCGGAGUAGAAGCCGAAGUCGGAGCCGGGACAGGAGGGACAGAGACCGGGAUCGCGAGCGGGAGCGAGAGCGUGAACGUGAUCGAGAUCGCGAGCGCGAACGCGAGCGUGAACGUGACAGGGACCGUGGACGCGAUCGAGACCGUGAUAGGGAUUACGAUUGCGAGAGGGAUCGUGAUCGCGAACGUGAGCGGGAUAGAGACCGCGAGCGUGACCGCGAUAAGAGUAGAUCCAAGAAAAAGAGUAAGUACAUCCACCGGUAAUAAUUGCUCAAAACGCCAAUUUGUAUUUCGAUUUGAUCCGAAUCGUGUCGGGCCUAAGGCAGUGCUGAUCCUAGUAAUUGUGAAAAACUACUGAUGACUUGAAAAUUCUGUGUAAUGAGAGAUGGUGUUCUUCAGUGUUUGAGCGAGUGGAAUUGAGUCCAAGCUCGCUGGUGCUUUUUUCAAAAUUGAUGCAAUCGUAUAAUAAGUGUCAACUAGGAGGAUAGUCGGAGUGUCUUAAAUUUGCCAGAUAAUUUCAUGUCAGUUAUUGUAUUGUUCACAUGCCGUGUUUUAACCUGGCAUGACUGCAUACCCGAGGAGUCUGCUAGUCUGUCAAGGAAUGUGGGAGAUGUCGGAUUUUGCCUCUCUCGCAUGAACUUGGUGGACGGGAUUCAGACUCGGAGGAUUGUAGGUAGAACAAACUCAUCUCGAUAACCUCUUGUGGGAUUACACAUACUAUAAUAAACAAAGCCACUUUUCCUCCGUUAGCAACCAAUGAACCAAAUUGAGUUAAAUCUAAUUAAAUUUUUCUUUUAUGCCGUUUUUAUUUCAUCUGCUUUUUUCAUUCAUUUGUCUUUAAAAAUUCACCACCAAUUUAUCGUACUCGUUUGUGCGUACUCACUACAGUUUUCAAGUCAUCAAGUUUUUAUUUGGAUUUUUCUGAUCCAGGAGAAGGAAAACCAAUUUAACUGAAUCAAAGUUACUGUCAUUAAUUGUAUAUUUCCUACUUGUACCUGAUAGAAAUGUGUAUUUGAAAACGUUUUCUCUCUCAAGAUCUGAGACGUUACUUAUAUUUUUUUCUUAGCUUUGUAUACUACGUUCAAGAUGAGGUGGUCUCAAAGUCAUCAUGUAAUCGUAGUAGAAAUCCGUAAUUUGUGUUUUUGAUAGCAUUGCAAGUGAUAAUCUAAAUCUGUAGAAGAAUGAACUUAAUGGAAGUUGCACUCUUGAAUCGUUGUUUUCUUUUGAAGGAUCUCAAAAUAGUGUUUUUUGCAGCUGUAGGUAUUCCUCUGCCUAUGUUGUAUUCUAGAGGAGAAGACAAUUUCCGAAUCGUGAUCAUGCAUUUAUUUUGUGAAGUCCUAAAAUAUUGAACUCUUUAUGUUUUGUAGAUUUAUGCUCUUCAAAAAUUCAAAGAGAGUAAAAAACUAUUAUCACAGGAAAAUGUCCUAGAUGUUUCCAAAAAAUAAAAAAAUUUAAAGAAAUACGUUUAUGAUGAAGUGAAUUUAAAUUAAAUUAAAGCCUCUGGUUGCACCUAAGUGAUGUUCUCAUGAUAUAAUGUAAUUGUGUUGCCGAAGAAUCAUGGGAGGAUUGAAUUUUGUGUUUUAAAUUCAAGUGCACUAAAAUGUAGCAGUAAUUGCCGAACACUAUAUCUCUCAAAGUCUAAAUUGUUUUGUGCAGGGUUAUUUGUAAUUGAGUGCAAAUAAUUUUUGAUAGAUAAUUCGCGUAAUUUCAAAUCAUUGUAAAAUUGGACUGAAUGCAGCAGCAUGGAAGCAAAUCUUACCCACUGUAGUUCAUACUCCAUUAUGAAUCACUGGCAAAUACAUAGUUAAACUGAGACCAUUUUUCAAAAGCUUUAAAGUUUUCAUCUGCUUAACUUUUUAGUGCAAGAAAAUGAGGUAGUAGUAAAAUCAAAAGCAUUCAAAAUUCAAUUUUCAGCUGGAAAAGUUAACGUAUUUAGCGCUUUUCAGUCAAAAUCAGUCCAAUUAUUACUUUAAUUAUCACCUUUGUACUUCCGUUUUCUUGAACAAGUCCUAGAACCAGCAGUGGCUGUUCUCUUCGGAGUGUCUAAAAACCAGAUUGUCGAAAUUAGGACUUGUUCUUUUUACGUCGUAACACAAUUGGGUCAGAACCUUUGGCAGCUAUCACGAAGUGAAAUUUUAGUGUGCGGGCUUCAUUUUUAAAGUUAAAUAAAAAUGUAUGUCGCCUUUGUUAUUCAGGAAAUUUAUGUAAAAUGAGAGAAAGUUUCCAUGAAUUUUUAAACAUUAUUUUGUAAAAUUGUUCUCAGCUCGUUUGUUGGAUUUCUUUUUCAUGGAUCUGAUAAAUUCACUUGUUAAAUUUACACGAGCUAUUCCACUUCCGGUCAUAACAUGCAACGAAUCAAAUUUCCUAGAUUCUAUUUGUAUUUUUUGUCGGUCACCAUCAAUAACUAUUAAUGAAUGCCCAUCAGUCGAAGUGAAAGGUGGCUCAUGUGUUCGUGUGCAUUCAUCAGUUCAGCAUUGUUCGCUUUACUUGAUCGCGAAAUUGGAUCAUUUUCUUUUUUAUAAAAUUCUCAAGAUCUCGUUAACUUAUUUUGUUAAGAAUUUUUCUUUGUAUAUGAUGAGAAAACUUGUCAAAAAUUGCCACAAUAAUUGUAAAUAUGUAGUAAAUUUUAUUUUUUACCAAAAGAAAA